UUUACUUGGAGCCCGAACUCUCACUUUCUAACCCUGUGCAUCUGUUAUUGGUUAGUAGCUCUUCGGAGUGAACUCCAUUCACUUACAAACACAAAGUCUAUGAAUGUAUACAAAAUUAUAACAAAACAAAACUUUCAACAACGGAUCUCUUGGCUCUCGCAUCGAUGAAGAACGCAGCGAAAUGCGAUACGUAAUGUGAAUUGCAGAAUUCAGUGAAUCAUCGAAUCUUUGAACGCACCUUGCGCUCCUUGGUAUUCCGAGGAGCAUGCCUGUUUGAGUGUCAUGAAAUCUUCAACCCACCUCUUUCUUAGUGAAUCUGGUGGUGCUUGGUUUCUGAGCGCUGCUCUGCUUCGGCUUAGCUCGUUCGUAAUGCAUUAGCAUCCGCAACCGAACUUCGGAUUGACUUGGCGUAAUAGACUAUUCGCUGAGGAUUCUAGUCUCGUACUAGAGCCGGGUUGGGUUAAAGGAAGCUUCUAAUCCUAAAGUCUAUUUUUUGAUUAGAUCUCAAAUCAGGUAGGACUACCCGCUGAACUUAAGCAUAUCAAA
rnacentral:rRNA from 1 species